ACUGAUUGGAUUGUUGAUGCAUGUAAUUGUAUUUCAGGGGUUGUUUUGUGCAUGUUAAUGCAGACUUGAUUCCUUGUUUAGAUUUGAUUCAGAUUUGAUGCGUUUUCGGAGGCUGUAUGUGAUAUAUGUUUAUAUGUCUUGUUCUGACAUGAGGCAAGUAGGCGCACAGGCUUGUAAUAAUGGAUGUUUUGAGUAAGUUCUCGCUCUCAGGCA